UGGGGAAUCUUGGACAAUGGGCGCAAGCCUGAUCCAGCCAUGCCGCGUGAGUGACGAAGGUCUUCGGAUUGUAAAGCUCUUUUAGCAGGGAAGAUAAUGACGGUACCUGCAGAAUAAGCCCCGGCUAACUUCGUGCCAGCAGCCGCGGUAAUACGAAGGGGGCUAGCGUUGUUCGGAAUUACUGGGCGUAAAGCGCACGUAGGCGGAUUGAUAAGUUAGAGGUGAAAUCCCGGGGCUCAACCUCGGAAUUGCCUUUGAUACUGUUAGUCUCGAGUCCGAUAGAGGUGAGUGGAAUUCCUAGUGUAGAGGUGAAAUUCGUAGAUAUUAGGAAGAACACCAGUGGCGAAGGCGGCUCACUGGAUCGGUACUGACGCUGAGGUGCGAAAGCGUGGGGAGCAAACAGGAUUAGAUACCCCCGUAGUCCCUGAGCGGGCUGGCAAGGCGCAU
rnacentral:rRNA from 1 species